ACGGGUAUUCUUGGGUUGAUAAUA
rnacentral:miRNA from 1 species